UCACCCUGAAGAAGUAAGUCGCACUAUAUCAUAAGCAUAUGUCCAUUAAUUUAAAUAAAUCUAGCUAAUUUUGCCCCUUCUCAUUAUUUUGGUGCAGCAGCAUAAGACCCUUAAUCCAACGGCAAGAAUUGAGCAAAAGGAUAUUCAAGACGUCCAAGACAGUUUCUACAAGUUCUUGUUGAGUGAGGUUCUUGUGCCUUCGGGGCGAUUCUUUGAUCCAGGAUGGGAGUAUGCCAUGAAUCAUGUGUUUGGAACUAUUCGACGUGAAUGCUAGCGGCCCUUCUUUUUCUUUUUUGGGCCGUAAAACUAGUAAACAAUCCGUGUAUAUAUAGUACUGUAAAUAUAAAUAUUCUUUGGUGUGUCAUCAUGUGUAUAUAUUGUAUGAUACAAGUUAAUUUCAAAUCUGCAAUGAAAUUUGGUGAGAAAGCACGAUUUAAUUAUGGCGGGAAAGCAAGAUAUAAAAUUUGGUGGGAAAGCACGAUAUAAUUAUGGUGGGAAGGUUUCAAUUCAAAAGGUACAAAAUCAAUCUUUAGAGGCAGUUCUUUUUGCUGCUCUAUAUCACAGUUUAGAGGCGGUUGUGUUGCAAGAGCCGCCUCUGAUCAAUGCACUUACAGGAACGGUUGCAUUGCAGCAACCGAUUCUGUAAUAUGUUUAUAGAGGCGGUUGGUUGCAGCAACCGUCAUUGUAAAUGGAUCUUUAGAGGUAGUUUACAUAACGCAACCGCCACAGACGAUUCUUUUUCAAGGGCAGAUUUCUUAAGUCAACCGCCUCUAAAGUCUUGUUUCUCGUGCCGGUUGAAAAACCGUUGUUACAAAGACAUGAAUUUCAGCAACAGUGGCACAGUGGCGGUUAUAAAAACCGGCCCUGAAAGUCCCAUUUGAUGACUCUGAAAUUGUUUUCUGUACUAGUGUGAGAACAAUAUUAUCAACAUAAGUCUUGUGAGUCCAAUAAAAAUAAAAAGAUGAAUAAUAAUUUAUAAUAAAAAACAAAAUACUUAUCUAUAUAUUAAGGUGUGAUCAUAUAGUGUGUCUACAGCCAAUCUAGUUUAGAGACAAAUAAAAAAUUAGAGAAUAUUAAAAUUUUGUCUUGGAGAUAAUGAAUAAUUGCUCUACAGUAAUUCCUUUCAAGUGCCUAGUUUUCAGCCAUGAAUUCUCUUGAGUUUUAGACAUGACCACUUUAAUAUAAGAAUUUACUCUGAACCUAAAAUUUGUGGAAGGAUAUGUUUAAGCUGAGUCAAGGUAAUUGAUAUUAUACAUGAAGGUCUAAGCUACUAUUUAUCUUAUUCCUAGGUUCUAGAGAUUUAUUUUCAAAAACCCAAAAUCUUACAUGAUGAGCUCUUGUAUAAUAAAGUUUAAAUUCCUACCAAAGCUAUAUAUGAUACAUUUAGAGUUAGGAAAACCUUUGCACAUUCAUGUUGUUUGCUUUACACUGAGUUUAGUCAACCUUCGGAGUAUACCUUAUGAGAAUUUUGUCAUGCUUUUAAAAUUAAGAUCACUUACGCACUCCACCCACAUAUGCAUUACUCCUACUCUAGGAUGUAAGCGCAGUCAUUUCCACUUUCAUCCAGAUCCACUUUAAAAAAAAUGUUUUCUCCUACACUAGGAGUAAACACCCAAAAAUACACCCUAUAGGACAGCCCCCAUUUAAGUGCUCUAAGUUCUUAUCAUUAUCUCUCCGAUUAUUUAUGUUCAAAGGAUGCAUGUGGCAAUGCAAAAGUAUUGAGAGAAAAAAAGAAGAAGAGAAGAAGGAAUUAAAGAUGGACAAGUGUCCCAACAAUUAAAACAAUGAGUACAUAGAUGCCUGCCUCCGAGAUUAAAAAAAGAAGAGAAAGGAAAAAUAAGAAAGAAAGAAAGAAAGAAUAAAGAUAGCUCAUGGUUUCCUGUGAGAAGUUCUAAGUUUUAAAGGAGGGAUUUAUUUUCAAAGAGCAAAAGUAGAAUUAGGAUUAGCCACUAAAUAUCAUAUAUGCACCUAUCCACCAUAUUCGAUACACACACAUCUUGAUUUGAUUGUAUGUCUUGAUUCUCUAUGGAUCCAUUGUUUGACUUUACAAUAUAUGAAAUGCAAGUAUGUUCAUCCUUGUUACUGCCACUCCUAUAAGCUCCACUAUAUAUCUUUAGUUGUAGGAAGGCAUAACCUUUAAUGCCUCAGCGAGAUCCAUAAAUACUACAUAAUAAGAGACUUGAGGGUGUCAUACAAUCAUGCUCUGAGCUUUACUUCGAAAGCUUGCAAAACUCUAAAAUAUUGGUACUGUGAAGAAUUUGAGACAUAGUGCUUGACUUGAUUGUUCUAUCUUUCGAUUACUCAAGACUUAUGCAAAAGCUGUAAAGCUCCAUGGUUAAAGGUAAAAUGGGUAAGUUUGAAAGUUAGAUCGGAGGAAAAUUUAUGUUUAAAAGCAAGUGUACUUAAAAGAAAUAAAAGUAUUGUAGCAACUCCUAGUCCAAAUAUAUUAAUAAUCAGGCUUGUGUUGUUUGCCAAGGGACUAGCAAAAGGUAACCUUGGGGGAAUUGUUGACGGUCGAUAACGUCAAUAUUUAUUAGAACUUUAGACAUGGAAGGACACACGAAUACACACUAGUGUAGUGUGUUAACUGACAAUUUCCAUGAGUUUUGGUGAUUCUAUAUUUUCCAGGGAUUAUUCCAAAAAAGCAUAAAAGAGGGGAUUAUAGUGCAUAAUUACAACAAAACUUAUCCGCGACGGAAAACAUCAUCAUUGGACUCAGAAAGAGUCUAAAAGACUCCCGAAGGAGCAGGGCCUGCAGAGGAGCCCAGGUGGGGCCGGCCGAUCCCACCCUAGGGCCAGUCAGCGCCCUAGGUCAACCACUGGCCAUCGCCUUCUGGAGUCUUCCUCUUACGCCUCCUUGGAAGCCAAGCAAAGUAUCCCUACGUUGAUUUUAAGUCAGUUUGAUCCGACGAUGCACACAGGAUGAAGACGCGGAUCGAUGAUGUGGCGGUUCCUUGCCCCCUACUCCACCUCGACCUAUAUAAUGACGCCCCAAGGCCCCUCCAAGAGGCAUUCUACACCCC
rnacentral:lncRNA from 1 species